rnacentral:rRNA from 1 species
GUCUACAACCAUACUACCCUGAACAAGCCAGAUCCCAUCUGACCUCAGAAGCUAAGCAGAGUCGGACCUGGUUAGUACUUGGAUGGGAGACCACCUAGGAAGACCAAGUGCUGUAGGCA